rnacentral:rRNA from 1 species
GACGAACGCUGGCGGCGUGCUUAACACAUGCAAGUCGAACGGAAAGGCCCUGCUUUUGUGGGGUGCUCGAGUGGCGAACGGGUGAGUAACACGUGAGUAACCUGCCCUUGACUUUGGGAUAACUUCAGGAAACUGGGGCUAAUACCGGAUAGGAGCUCCUGCUGCAUGGUGGGGGUUGGAAAGUUUCGGUGGUUGGGGAUGGACUCGCGGCUUAUCAGCUUGUUGGUGGGGUAGUGGCUUACCAAGGCUUUGACGGGUAGCCGGCCUGAGAGGGUGACCGGCCACAUUGGGACUGAGAUACAGCCCAGACUCCUACGGGAGGCAGCAGUGGGGAAUAUUGCACAAUGGGCGGAAGCCUGAUGCAGCAACGCCGCGUGCGGGAUGACGGCCUUCGGGUUGUAAACCGCUUUCGCCUGUGACGAAGCGUGAGUGACGGUAAUGGGUAAAGAAGCACCGGCUAACUACGUG